rnacentral:lncRNA from 1 species
GUUGCAGAUGGGUAUACAAGAUCAAGUUUCAUGCUGAUGGCAAUAUAGAAAGGUUCAAAGCAAGACUCGUUGCUAAAGGAUACACACAACAAGAAGGACUCGAUUAGCAUGAGACCUUUUCACCUGUUGUCAAGCUUGUUAUGGUCAGAACUCUACUAGCAAUAGCAGCCAUAAAAGGAUGGGAUCUUUUUCAGCUUGAUGUCAACAACGCCUUCUUGCAUGGUGAAUUGGAAGAAGAGGUGUACAUGGAGAUCCCUCCUAGCUAUUUGCAGGAUGGCACGAAGAAGAAAGUUGGUAAACUCAAAAAAAGUUUGUAUGGUUUGAAACAAGCAUCGCAUCAAUGGUACGCUAAACUUUCCAAAUUCUUCAUUGAAUAAUGAUAUGUUCAAUCAAAGGUAGAUUACAGCCUGUUUAUUGAGGGUAGUGGUGCCUCUUUUACUGCUGUCCUAGUGUAUGUUGAUGAUAUAAUUAUGGCUGGAAAUUGCAUUGACAUGAUUAAUCAUCUCAAAACUUCACUUCAUGACAAGUUUAGGAUCAAGGAUCUUGGAAAAUUAAAAUAUUUCCUAGGCAUAGAGGUGGCCAGGUCUGCAAAAGGUAUCAGUAUAUGUCAAAGAAAAUAUGCUUUGGAUAUCUUAGAUGACUCGAGCACAAUUGGUUCAGCUCUAGUCAGGAUACCAUUAGGUCAAAAUGUAAAAUUGACCAAAGAUGAAGGGGAAUUACUACCUCAACUAGCAAUUUACAGAAGAUUGGUUGGCAGAUUACUGUACCUAACAAUAACCAGACCUGAUAUUUCCUACUCGGUGCAGUUGUUAAGUCAAUUUAUGGAAAGCCCCCGAAUCCCACAUUUGCAUGUAGCGCAUAAAGUCCUAAGAUAUAUUAAAAGAGCUCCAAGCCAAGGAAUAUUCUAUCCAGCAAAUUCAGCAUUACAGUUACAUGGAUAUAGUGAUUCAAAUUGGGGAGCUUGUAUGAUUACUAGACGAUCAGUUACAGGCUACUGUGUGUUAAUUGGGAAAUCAUUGGUGUCUUGGAAGUUAAAGAAGCAACAUGUAGUCUCAAGAUCAUCUUCGGAAGCAGAAUAUAG